rnacentral:tRNA from 1 species
GGGUAGAUUCCCGAGUGGUCAAAGGGGAUGGACUGUAAAUCCAUUGGCAACGCCUUCGAAGGUUCGAAUCCUUCUCUGCCCA